rnacentral:rRNA from 1 species
CGCGUAGGCGGCCUGCUAAGUCACACGUGAAAUCCCUCGGCUCAACCGGGGAACUGCGUCUGAUACUGGAUGGCUUGAGUUCGGGAGAGGGAUGCGGAAUUCCAGGUGUAGCGGUGAAAUGCGUAGAUAUCUGGAGGAACACCGGUGGCGAAGGCGGCAUCCUGGACCGAUACUGACGCUGAGGAGCGAAAGCCAGGGGAGCAAACG